AUGUCUGGAAGCACGGGAGAACGCUCUUCUGCUUAUAUUAUUACCAGCAUUCGAUACUGGGUUAUUCAUAGCAUUACUAUACCUUCCUUAUUCAUUGCGGGUUGGUUAUUCGUCAUCCCGGCUUUCACUUGGAAAACUAUGGAAGUCCUCGGCCAAACGAAUAUUUCACGGAAAGCCGACAAGGGAUUUUCUUAA
rnacentral:rRNA from 1 species